CCUACGGGUGGCAGCAGUGGGGAAUAUUGCACAAUGGGGGAAACCCUGAUGCAGCGACGCCGCGUGAGCGAAGAAGUAUUUCGGUAUGUAAAGCUCUAUCAGCAGGGAAGAAAAUGACGGUACCUGAGUAAGAAGCUCCGGCUAAAUACGUGCCAGCAGCCGCGGUAAUACGUAGGGAGCAAGCGUUAUCCGGAUUUACUGGGUGUAAAGGGAGCGCAGGCGGCCAUGCAAGUCUGAUGUGAAAUACCGGGGCCCAACCCCGGGGCUGCAUUGGAAACUGUGAGGCUGGAGUGUAGGAGAGGCAGGCGGGAUUCCUAGUGUAGCGGUGAAAUGCGUAGAUAUUAGGAGGAACACCAGUGGCGAAGGCGGCCUGCUGGACUAUGACUGACGCUGAGGCCCGAAAGCGUGGGGAGCAAACAGGAUUAGAUACCCGAGUAGUC
rnacentral:rRNA from 1 species